rnacentral:lncRNA from 1 species
GUCACCCGUCGUCUUUACCAUUUUGUCCAGGCUCGGAGGCUCUCUUUCUUUCCUCCUCUCCUUUUUUGCGGCUACUCUUUGCUCCUUCUUUAAUUCGCCGACGGCAGCUGGGCCCUGACGGUGCCGGAGCUGUCGGGGAUGUUGAGUGGCUCAGCUUUCGGCCGAAUUUUUAUUCUUGUGCUGGCUACGGUUGGAAUUAUUGCGCUUGGUCCGGUGCUUGUCGUACUGCUUGGCGACGGAAUCUGAUGCUUUGAUGUUUAUUUCAGAACCGUUUAAUUCAUUUGUUGGAGAAUCAUUGCUCUAACCUAAUGGAUCCAUGAAUGUGCUUCACAGCUGGCGGUAUCGAGUCGAUGUUGUCAAAGAGAGCGUCGAUAGUUAAGCAAUGUAUUUUUUGAAGAUUGAGGCUGGUUGUGG